UUAAGGCUCGUACAGACUACAUGACUUUGAAACGUAGGUCCGAACUGUGCGGUUCACACUACAUGACUUGCUCUCUGUGAAAUCAGGAGUGUUCACGUUGUUGAGCAGUUCACACCACACGACACAACGUGAAUGCCCCACAACAGGAGGUAACGCACUACACGAGUUGAGAACAACUCUAUUACCCAACGAUUCUAUCUUGUCUACAAACCCCGUUCUGUCACGAAAAAUCACGCGAUAAAACAAACCGGAAAUGACGCGAAACUACACGCGCGCCGGUAAAAACCCACAGAAGAAGAAACAAGACGCGCAAAACUUUUGUUUGUAUAUAUAGACUUCAGACAGAAAUAAUUGCUGCAAACCGUUUGCGCGAUGCAAAGCCGCAAAAGAAAAAAAUUAUAGAGAUGUGAUGUGGAGAGGUGGAUCAGAACCACACGCGGACAGCAGGGAUUAAAGAUUUGAGGUGAGUAACUGUUACAGCUUGUUUAAUAUAGCUGCAUGCUUAUGUUUGGCUAUGAUCACAUUUAAAAUAUCAAAGUGUUGUCUACUGUGCUUAAAAGCUGUGUUUCUUGAUUUAAUUAUCGUUCAAAUAGAAUAGGACAGGCUUCGCAAAACAUGAUUUGGAGAGCGUUUGUCUUUGACCCUGCGAUUCUAUGCAACAGGUGACACGUUCAAGUUCAUCAGGUAUAAGUCCAGGAUGGGAGACCAGCACCAUCUCACAAAUAGUUUUGGAUGUUCUGCUCUGUACCAGGUUAUAAAGGACGAUUUCUUGAAGACACCAUCAAGGGAAGGAGAGUGGCAUACAAUAGCCAUGGACUUCGAAAGGAAGUGGCAGUUUCCACAUUGCUUUGGGGUACUUGCUACCACUCCAGCUGUAGCAGACUGCUGACCACAACAUGGAUGAUGGGCAGUGGAAGAUUCACGGGAUGUGUGCUUUUCAACCGAUGAAAUACACCUCACAUCGCAAUUGUAUGGCAAUAGCAAAAGUGCAACGCAAUCUGAUGCGGGACUACUUUGCCUCACCAGCGGGUAGUGAUUAUUGGCAAGUUCAUCACAUUUUAAAAGGAACUGAUGUAGAGUUAUCCCUGCAAACAGCAGAUUAAAGCCAGUUAUUGUCAGUUUAGGACAUUUGUUUUCUUGUGUGUUCUAAAGUCCUGUAUUUGUAAAGAACACACACGUGGUUCACUUAUUCACUGUUUUAAGUAUUCUGUUUAUUGUUGUGUUAUUAUUGAAUACAUUUUAAUUGCAUACAAAUCAAAAGGUGCAGGAAUGUAAUAAAGGCAAUCUGCAUGUUGCAA